rnacentral:lncRNA from 1 species
CAAGGAAAAAAUGUUCACCCAUGCAAGUUCUCAACUUAAUUAACGACUAAAAUUUUCUUGUCGGUAUGGUCUCAACUGACAGAAAAAAUACAAACAUGGGUUGUGUACCGACAGGAAAAAUAAAGUCUCUGUCAGAUUGAAUAGGUGCAUACAUUUUUUUUACUAUUUUUUUCUAUACACAUAGAAAAAAUUUAAAAAAAAUAAACCCACAAAAUGCUCCCACCGAACGUGCGUGCCAAAUGGAAUGCCAAAAUGCCUCCUCCGGCGUGUUGUGCUCAGUGCUUGGUACAACAACAAAAUGUUGUAGCAGGCAAGUAAAAAACAAGAAACCCCCCAUUCAGAAAAAGGCUGAUCAGAAAAGAAAAACACAAAGUUUUCAUAUUUUUGUUGACAUGUGUAUCUAUCGAUAAUUUUUCUACAGCCAAACCACGUUUUCAUAUUAUAAAAUAUUUAUGGUUUUCAUCAUAGAGACUUUAUCGACGCUUAAGAUGGGGACAAAAAGUUCCAGAGGCAUCCUUACAAACUUGUAUCAGCAGCAGGAACCCAAGCAAAUUGAUGUGAUAAUGCAGGCCACU